AGGCCACUCGUCUAGUCUGGUAGGAUAUUCCCGUGGCAUGGGAAAGGUCGCGGGUUCAAAUCCCGCCCGGUCCACCA
rnacentral:tRNA from 1 species